GCAUAUAAUAGUUUUGUUUGUGGAAACACCACGUAAAUUUAAUUUAAUUAAUUUAAUUUAAUUUACGUGGUGUUUCCACAAACAAAACUAUUAUAUGUUU